rnacentral:rRNA from 1 species
AGGGUUUGAUUCUGGCUCAGGACGAACGCUGGCGGCGUGCCUAAUACAUGCAAGUCGAACGCUUUUUCUUUCACCGGAGCUUGCUCCACCGAAAGAAAAGGAGUGGCGAACGGGUGAGUAACACGUGGGUAACCUGCCCAUCAGAAGGGGAUAACACUUGGAAACAGGUGCUAAUACCGUAUAACAAUCGAAACCGCAUGGUUUCGGUUUGAAAGGCGCUUUUGCGUCACUGAUGGAUGGACCCGCGGUGCAUUAGCUAGUUGGUGAGGUAACGGCUCACCAAGGCAACGAUGCAUAGCCGACCUGAGAGGGUGAUCGGCCACAUUGGGACUGAGACACGGCCCAA